GGACGUGCUUCGUAGAAUCUACCAUCGGAUCGGAAACGCGAUCCGGUGGUAGAUUCUGCGAAGUACGGCUCUUGCUA